rnacentral:rRNA from 1 species
GAUGAACGCUGGCGGCGUGCCUAAUACAUGCAAGUCGAGCGAACAGACGAGGAGCUUGCUCCUCUGACGUUAGCGGCGGACGGGUGAGUAACACGUGGAUAACCUACCUAUAAGACUGGGAUAACUUCGGGAAACCGGAGCUAAUACCGGAUAAUAUAUUGAACCGCAUGGUUCAAUAGUGAAAGACGGUUUUGCUGUCACUUAUAGAUGGAUCCGCGCCGCAUUAGCUAGUUGGUAAGGUAACGGCUUACCAAGGCAACGAUGCGUAGCCGACCGGAGAGGGGGAUCGCCCACAUGGGAACUGAGACACGCUCCAGACUCCUACGGGAGGCAGCAGUAGGGUAUCGUACGCAAUGGGCGAAAACCUGACGGAGCAAGGCCGCGUGAGUGAUGAAAGUCUUCGGAUCGUAAAACUCGGUUAUGAGGGAAGAACAAAUGUGUAAGUAACCAUGCACGUCUUGACGGUACCUAAUCAGAAAGCCACGGCUAACUACGUG